AAGAUCAUACUUCACAGGAUCAUUUCUGUAGUAUAUCUUCACAUACUCCACAUUCAAAUGUGGAGUUGACGCAGCCACGAUGACGAGUGACAGUUUCGUGUC